GAUGAACGCUAGCUACAGGCUUAACACAUGCAAGUCGAGGGGAAACGACAUCGAAAGCUUGCUUUUGGUGGGCGUCGACCGGCGCACGGGUGAGUAACGCGUAUCCAACCUGCCCACCACUUGGGGAUAACCUUGCGAAAGUAAGACUAAUACCCAAUGAUAUCCCACGAAGGCAUCCGAAUGGGAUUAAAGAUUUAUCGGUGAUGGAUGGGGAUGCGUCUGAUUAGCUUGUUGGCGGGGUAACGGCCCACCAAGGCAACGAUCAGUAGGGGUUCUGAGAGGAAGGUCCCCCCACAUUGGAACUGAGACACGGUCCAAACUCCUACGGGAGGCAGCAGUGAGGAAUAUUGGUCAAUGGGCGAGAGCCUGAACCAGCCAAGUAGCGUGCAGGAUGACGGCCCUAUGGGGUUGUAAACUGCUUUAUAAGGGAAUAAAGUGAGUCUCGUGAGACUUUUUGCAUGUACCUUAUGAAUAAGGACCGGCUAAUUCCGUG
rnacentral:rRNA from 1 species